ensembl:lncRNA
CGGCCGCCACACAGACGGGGGGGCUGGGACUUCAAAUCCACUCCAACACGAUGGAGUGAAGGGGAGAGGAGGAAUGGAGGAGGGCAAAAAGAAAGAAAUAAAUGAAGAUGCCUCCAGGCCUGACCCCAAAUGCCCUGCCUCUUAGCAACAAAGCAGUAGAUAGGCGCUUCAUGGGGGACCAUUACACUGAGUACUCUGAACAGCGACAACGCAGGCCUUGAUCGAGACGGGAAAGUGGAGCGACAGACAUAAAAGCAGAACUGUGAGCUUUAGCCUACGUGGACCAGCUCUCUGAUGAAAAUGUCUUUUCUCUCAGGGAGUCUAACCUGGCUAAAUAAAGAUUACAUGGAAAUAUGAGUAUUAUGAUCAAUGCUCUUCAGCACGACACUGACGGUACUCAAAGAUGUACUCAAACUAAAGACUCAUACUGGUACCUGUAAAUAGGCCCGGAGGCAUGAGAAAAGGCUUUGAAACCAGAGAAUGCCAAUGUCACCAACUCCGUUGGAGCAGUCCAUCCUAUAAGUUGUCUAAAAGGAAUUGGCCAUUUAUAAAGUGAUGAUUCAUUCGAAUUUCAAAUUGUGUCAAGCACAACCUCUCGUUGUGCGUAGUCUGAAGUGAAACUAUCCCUUCAACAUGAUGCAUGAUGGGUAAAAGGUACUUCAGUGAGUGGACUGUGAGCUCACUGAAGUGCCUUGAAGGCUUGAGAUAAACGUCUAUUGGUUAUAUUUCUAUAUCUCCUGUCUCCUGUGUGAAAUUAACAAAUGCCAUGGGCCUGUGUGGACCAAACAAGGCUAAAUUAGGUGAAUGAAAUAGGACUCUAUAAAUGUCUAUGGAUAAUGGGAUACACAUUCAGUCUGCUUCAGUUCAGAAUGUGAUAGAGACAUGUGAGACUUUUAGCCCCCAAGGAAAUAGCAUAUGACUGUCAUUUUCACAAAGGGCCAUAUUUAAAAACAGAUUGCAGACAUGUUAAACCUAACUGCCAUCACCUGCCAGGGGUUGUAAAUGUCAACAACAAGAAAUAAACACUUAUCAACAAACUGUAAGCAAACACUUAUCAACAAAGAGGAACCCCUAUAGAGGAGAAGGUGGAAUUGUUGAUUCAUAAACCCAGUGAAGACGGUACCAAGAAAACAGUCAUUGGAGCUCAAGAAUGUUAAGACUAGAGGCUCCAAGACAUUUGUCUCUUGAUAUUCUCAGAGCAUGUAACAAUUACAUUAAUAUAAGGUUACUGAAAUAUCUGUUUUUAUUUUUGCAGUUGCAAACCUGAACAUGACAGAUUAUGGAUAAUCUCCUGUCACAAAAUACAGGAUGACUGUAACCCAUAUAGUCUGAGGUUAUGUUAUGAUAAUAAAAUCGUACAAAUUCCCAACAGGGACGAAACAGACAGCCUAACAGUAGAGCUGAUUAGGAUGAAUCGGUGGAUUUCUUAUGGUGAAAAGGAUGGUGUAUACAGUUGGUACUCCGGCUCCCUCGUCGAGCUCCCCAACUCCCAGCUGGCUUCACACCAGUGAUUUGUUUUCAUUCAUCCUUCGGCAGGGAAGGAACCAAUAAGGAAGACACGAAAAGCGGUCAGAUAUAUUUGAAUACCCACGGAAAUUCAAUUUCGAGAGAAACAACUAUUUUUAAUUGUCCAUUAGAUAUUUCAAUUAUUUGAUUUGCUUCUCGUGUCCUGUUAGUAUGGGGUGUGAGUGAAUUUGCGUUGGACAUGCCCAUCAAGGCCACUGAUGAAUAGUUGAAUUAGAUUUCUUUCUUUUCUUGUAAAAAAAAUGUUUUUUAAAUAUGGGGAUAUUUUCAAAAAUUCUUUAGAGUGAGACUAUAGAGCUAGAAUUCACAUGACUUGGAUCCCAUUGAAACGAUACCUUUAUUUCCUCCAGUCUACUAUGUAUAAUGAGUAAUGAAGUAGCCUCAUGACAGACAAACCGUCACAAAUAAUGCUUGGAGUAUUAUAGUCAUAAUGGGUGUAUAAUGUGUAUUAUAGUCAUAAUGGGUGUAUAACGUGUAUUAUAGUCAUAAUGGGUGUAUAAUGUGUAUUAUAGUCAUAAUGGGUGUAUAAUGUGUAUU